CCGUAACUAUAACGGUCCUAAGGUAGCGAAAUUCCUUGUCGGGUAAGUUCCGACCCGCACGAAAGGCGUAAUGAUUUGAGCACUGUCUCGACAAUGCAUCCGGUGAAAUUGAAGUACCAGUGAAGAUGCUGGUUACCCGCGCCAGGACGGAAAGACCCCAUGGAGCUUUACUCCAGUUUGAUACUGGGAUUCGGUACUGCAUGUACAGGAUAGGUGGGAGACGAAGAAGGAUGGACGCCAGUCUGUCCGGAGUCGCUGUUGGGAUACCACCCCUGUAGUACUGGGUUUCUAACCAGUUGCCAUGAACUGGCAAUGGGACAAUGUCAGGCGGGGAGUUUGACUGGGGCGGUCGCCUCCGAAAGGGUAUCGGAGGCGCUCAAAGGUUCCCUCAGAAUGGUUGGAAACCAUUCGAAGAGUGCAAAGGCAGAAGGGAGCUUGACUGCGACACCGACGGGUGGAGCAGGUACGAAAGUAGGACUUAGUGAUCCGGUGGUAUAAAGUGGGAUUGCCAUCGCUCAACGGAUAAAAGCUACCCUGGGGAUAACAGGCUUAUCACUCCCAAGAGUUCACAUCGACGGAGUGGUUUGGCACCUCGAUGUCGGCUCAUCGCAUCCUGGGGCUGUAGCAGGUCCCAAGGGUUGGGCUGUUCGCCCAUUAAAGCGGUACGCGAGCUGGGUUCAGAACGUCGUGAGACAGUUCGGUCCCUAUCCGGCGCGGGCGGAGGAUAUUUGAGAGGAGCUGUCCUUAGUACGAGAGGACCGGGAUGGACGGACCACUGGUGUAUCUGUUGUCGACCAACGGCAUGGCAGAGUAGCCAAGUCUGGAAGGGAUAAACGCUGAAGGCAUCUAAGCGUGAAGCCCCCCUCAAGAUGAGAUAUCCCUCCUUCGGGAGUAAGACCCCUUGAAGACUACAAGGUAGAUAGGGCAGAGGUGGAAGCAUGGCAACAUGUGGAGCUGACUGUUACUAAUAGGUCGAGGGCUUAAUCUG
rnacentral:rRNA from 1 species